rnacentral:rRNA from 1 species
AGUGAACGCUGGCGGUAGGCCUAACACAUGCAAGUCGAACGGCAGCACAGUAAGAGCUUGCUCUUACGGGUGGCGAGUGGCGGACGGGUGAGGAAUACAUCGGAAUCUACUUUUUCGUGGGGGAUAACGUAGGGAAACUUACGCUAAUACCGCAUACGACCUACGGGUGAAAGCAGGGGAUCUUCGGACCUUGCGCGAUUGAAUGAGCCGAUGUCGGGUUAGCUAGUUGGCGGGGUAAAGGCCCACCAAGGCGGCGAUCCGUAGCUGGUCUGAGAGGCUGAUCGGCCACACUGGAACUGAGACACGGUCCAGACUCCUACGGGAGGCAGCAGUGGGGAAUAUUGGACAAUGGGCGCAAGCCUGAUCCAGCCAUACCGCGUGGGUGAAGAAGGCCUUCGGGUUGUAAAGCCCUUUUGUUGGGAAAGAAAAGCAGCAGGUUGAUACCCCGCUGUUCUGACGGUACCCAAAGAAUAAGCACCGGCUAACUUCGUG